UUUGUACUCCCUCCGUCCCAAAAUUCUUGUCUUAAAUUUGUCUAAAUACGGAUGUAUCUAGUUACAUUUUAGUGUUAGAUACAUCCGUAUCUAAACGAAUGUAAGACAAGAAUUUUGGCACGGAGGGAAUACUAC
rfam:Triticum aestivum genome assembly, contig: Triticum_aestivum_CS42_TGACv1_scaffold_327966_4BS